AUGCACUGGAGCAGAGCACUGC
rnacentral:misc_RNA from 1 species